rnacentral:siRNA from 1 species
GCUCGGAAAUGUUGGGAUCUCUA